rnacentral:rRNA from 1 species
GUUAGGAAUAUUGGACAAUGGGCGCAAGCCUGAUCCAGCCAUGCCGCGUGAACGAUGAAGGCCUUCGGGUUGUAAAGUUCUUUAGCCGAUGAUUAUAAUGACUGUAGUCGGAAAAUAAGCCCCGGCUAACUUCGUGCCAGCAGCCGCGGUAAUACGAAGGGGGCGAGCGUUAUUCGGAAUCACUGGGCGUAAAGCGUGCGUAGGCGGUCUCGUAAGUUAGGAGUGAAAGCCCAAGGCUCAACCUUGGAAUUGCUCUUAAUACUGCAAGGCUAGAAUCUCGGAGAGGAUAGCGGAAUUUCCAGUGUAGCAGUGAAAUGCGUAGAUAUUGGAAGGAACACCAGUGGCGUAAGCGGCUAUCUGGACGAGUAUUGACGCUGAGGCACGAAAGCGUGGGGAUCAACCAGGAUUAGAAACCCGGGUAGUCC